UGCAGUACCCGUGAUAAGGCUCACUUGGAUCUGAUUUUGCCACAGAGUUCCAGUGGUGCAGGAACAAAGCCCAAAGCGGUGUCAGGUGGCCACAGCGGGGAGAGGAGGCUGCAUCCUGUUGGCAGCUAAUGAACUGGCCUGAGCGAAAGGAGAGAGGGUUCGAAGAAAGCCUAGAGUAGCACCUGCUGCUCUCUGCCAGCAUCUGAUACGCCCUGGAGAUAAUCGAAGCCCAGACUCGUUCUCGGACUGGGUCAGCUGAGUUACUUCCUUCAGAGUGGUGACUGGUAUCCUUCACGGCGCGUGCGCCGCAUGUCACUCGGCGUCUGGACACUGGCGAGAAUGCAUCUGGCCUCAUGAACCUCUGCCAGCCCCAUGAGGGCCAUGGCCUAUCCUUGCGUGGUGCACCCUCAGCUAGGUACCACCGCACCCAGACUUCACUGCUCUGACCUGGCUGACAACACACCCAUAGCUGAGUCUUCCUCUGACCCGCAGUGAUGACCCAGCCAACACUGGGAACAGCUCACUGUGCUUCUGUGGCUUCUGUGAGCUGAGUGACUGACCUGUCAUUCCAGGGCAACUCACUGCUCCAGGUGUGUCCCACCAGUUCACAGAAUUCAAGGCUGGCUCAUGAUCAUUCCCCUCGGUCCUUCCACUUAGCUCAAAAGAUGCUCUAGACUCUAGAGAGACCUAAACCUUAAUAUUCCUUCCUUUGCAUUGAGUCCUUGGGUAUCCUUUUUACAUAUCUGUGUUACUACAGGUGAACACCAAUCCUGGGUUUUUCCAAAAAAGGAUAUUUGGAUAAAAACAAAUGUGGACACCACACUUUCUGAAACUCCAGCCCUGCAUGCAGGCUCUUGCAAUAGAACUUGAGGCUGAGGAGGAGACUCUUAGCAUCUGGCCUCUGGGAGGUAGGCCAGCAGGAGGGGAAUGGUGGCAACAUAUUGUAAAAGACUGAGGAGUUGGGGUGAGAGAGCAGAGCGAACGCAGUGAGGGAGAGGGGAUCCCUGUGGGGGAUGGUGCCUGCCCACCAUGGGUCACACGUGGGCCUGAGUGUCUAUACCUGCGGCCCAUGACCAUGGCUAGGAUUAAAGGCAGCAGACUCCACCAGUGACAUCAUUCCUGAAUCUUCUCCACCCAGUGCCCUCUGGGUGGACUGGAAGCAUCCUUGAGCCGAAGCGAACAACUGUUUGACCGUUCCCUGCACACCUCCCUUCUCAGUAAUGGCCAGGAUGUAAGAAUGAAGGCAGACAGUUAUACCGGUCUUGGGAAGAGUCCAAACAAGUUCUGCCAGACCAAAGUAAUGUUCAAUCAUCUCCCCACCUGUUUGUCAGCCAACAUUUCCACAACUCUCCACAUGACAGGGUGGGGAACUGAGGGCUCACUAAUUAGCAGUCAGAACAGAAAACAGGACUGGGGCAGGAGGUCCUCCUUCAUGGCCUGAAUAAGCCCUGACCCCAUUUCCUACAGGUGGAGGCCUCCUGGGUAAUAGCCAGGCUGAACCCAAAACUUUGCAUCAGCUCCUCCUGGCCUAUGAGGCCCCAGGCAAAAGCUCUCUCUCCUCACCAAUGACUAUGCUUUUUCUCCUUCCCUCUCCUGAGCCCGAGGAGACACAACAAACCAAUCAAAACCUGAACAAACGAGGAUGCCAAAGCUUACUUGAACAUUCAAAGAUCAAUGUAAUUAUAAGCAUCUUUGUACUUUCAACCGACUAUUUCAUUAUUAAUGUGGAAUUAAAACCUGUUCUGAACCCUCACAAUCGGUAACUGUUCUGUCAUCAUAUUUACUGAUAUAGCCCUGAUAUUGACCCCUUGGGAGCAGAUAGAAUAAAUAAAGCAUGUUGCAAGUCUUAACAUAUGAUCACUUUCAAAUCGGGGGUUGAAACGGGGCUUUGCAACUUGCCUGAGCCACUUAAAUUCUCUGAGCUUCAGCCUUCAGUAAAACAAGGGUAAUUAUACCUACCACCUAGGGUUGUUGUGAAGCUCAAAUGAGAUAAGACUUGAAAAAGGCCCAAUAUUAACUUUUAAAAAUAUAGCACAUCCUCAAUAAAUAGCAGGCAUUAACGAUUAUGUUACAUGAAUUAAAAGUGGCAGUGUGGUGUAAUCACACUAUCCAGGUACACAGAAAGGCUCUUAAAAUGUUUUUUCCUGGGCGCCUGGGUGGCUCAGUGGGUUAAGCCGCUGCCUUC